GCAAACAUGCGCUGUUGUCAUGUCAUAUAAAUGAGGCAGUCAGUGCCAAAGGUCUAGUAAGGUGUAUCACUACAAGAAAUGGUAGAUCAGUGCACUACAGAUUAACCCUUCGUCUCACUCCAAUCAUUUGGGAGGAUCAGUUUUUCUCAGUUCUUUCAGGAUUGCAGGAACACGAUGAGGACUCUGAAUAAUUUGUCUGAUCUGAGAGAGUCCAAGUUCGGUCGGCCUCCUCCCAGACACGGGCUGAUCUUGCUGUGGUGGUUUGCUCAUGAAUGUGUUCAGAUUGAUUUCAACAGUCGUAUAGUUGCACUCUGCAACCCUAAAAAUGGCGCUUUUGGUUUCCACCGAUUCUAUAACAGGGAGAAUCUUCUUCCUGAGUCUUAUCUCCCGUACUAUGAGGUGGGCAACCUGCACAUCACUGACUCACUGCCUGAAUAUGUCACUGUGAAUUACACAGGAUAUUCAGACAACAGCAACAAAGAUCGCAUCAUUGUUUCAUUUAACUUAAGGUGGAACCGAUUUGACAGCAUUUAUGUGACACAGCACUCAGAUCUGGUGAAUUUUGACCAGAAUCACACUUACUGCAUUAGCAUUGAACUCAUGAAGGACAUUAUAGGUUUGAGCCGUGAGGAAUUCCUCAAAGGACCCGUCCGCACAAAUCAACCCAAUCCUUCUCAGGAUGUGUCCAUAGACAUGCCCAGCACAUAUAUUCCUUCAAUCUCAGCAAGACUGUCACUCACACCUCAGCCAUACACACCUCAGCCACACACACCUCAGCCACACACACCUCAGCCAUACACACCUCAGCCAGUGCAUAGUGAAUCCUGUCUGAGUAAGAAAUGCUGGUGUGUGCUGAUAUGCGUCUUGAUUUUACUGUUGCUCAUUAUUGCUAUUGUCGUUUUAUGUGUUAAAUUUAUCCCUAAAUAGUUUUCGUCCAUUUCUGUUGUUAUUCCAGCUCAUUUUGAAGCUGCAUGUUGCAGUUGGUUUCCUUUUGGACAAUUGCUUAUCGGAAUGAAAGAAAGUAAAAACAUUUUCAUGUUUAUUAUUAUAUAGCAUAAAAUACAAUGGUGAGCGUUGCAUGUUUAUCACUGCGUUCUUAUUAAUGGUUCAUUGCACUGAUGUAAAUAAAUAUCCAAGAUUUAGAAGGACCAAGAAUCAAUAUUAAUAUUAAUCUGAAUAUUGGGCUACACACUCCAAUCAAUGUCUUCUGUGUUUGCGACCUGAUUUAUAGUAAUUUCGUUUCAUAAUUGUUGUGCUUAUUCUUUGACAUAUACAAACAGAGAAUGUAUUAAAACUCCAAAAACCA